rnacentral:rRNA from 1 species
GAUGAACGCUAGCGGGAGGCCUAACACAUGCAAGCCGAGCGGUAUUUGUUCUUCGGAACAGAGAGAGCGGCGCACGGGUGCGGAACACGUGUGCAACCUGCCUUUAUCUGGGGGAUAGCCUUUCGAAAGGAAGAUUAAUACCCCAUAAUAUAUUGAGUGGCAUCAUUUGAUAUUGAAAACUCCGGUGGAUAGAGAUGGGCACGCGCAAGAUUAGAUAGUUGGUGAGGUAACGGCUCACCAAGUCAAUGAUCUUUAGGGGGCCUGAGAGGGUGAUCCCCCACACUGGUACUGAGACACGGACCAGACUCCUACGGGAGGCAGCAGUGAGGAAUAUAGGACAAUGGGUUAGCGCCUGAUCCAGCCAUCCCGCGUGAAGGACGACGGCCCUAUGGGUUGUAAACUUCUUUUGUAUAGGGAUAAACCUCUCUCGUGAGAGUAGCUGAAGGUACUAUACGAAUAAGCACCGGCUAACUCCGUG